rnacentral:tRNA from 1 species
CGAGAUGUGGCGAAGUUUGGUAUCGCGCUGCGUUCGGGACGCAGAGGCCGCAGGUUCGAGUCCUGUCAUCUCGA